ACACGCGCCCAGACUCAUUUUGGACCCGAAACUCCUUCGAGACGGACUCAGACCUGCCUGCGGGAUGGAUGCGGGUGCAGGACACCUCGGGCACCUAUUACUGGCACAUCCCUACGGGCACCACGCAGUGGGAGCCGCCUUCGGGGCUGGCCCGGGGCUCAGCACACAGCUCCCAAAGCAACACCCCGUCCGAGGAGCAGCCGCUCGCCUGGACGGGCUUCGCCCCGGCUGAGCGCUUUGGCGACGGGGAUUUCUGGAAGGUAA